rnacentral:rRNA from 1 species
AUUGAACGCUUGCGGCAGGCCUAACACAUGCAAGUCGAGCGGAGCGGCGGACGGGUGAGUAAUGCCUAGGAAUCUGCCUGGUAGCGGGGGAUAACGUCCGGAAACGGGCGCUAAUACCGCAUACUAUCAGAUGAGCCUAGGUCGGCUUAGGUAGUUGGUGGGGUAAAGGCCUACCAAGGCGACGAUCCGUAACUGGUCUGAGAGGAUGAUCAGUGACACUGGGACUGAGACACUGCCCUGACACGUAGGGGAGGGAGCAGUGGGGAAUCUUCCGUAAUGGACGAAAGUCUGACGGAGUAACGCCGCGUGAGUGAUGACGGCCUUUGGGUUGUAAAGCUCUGUUAAGCGGGACGCGGUACCGGAAUAGAAAGCCACGGCUAACUACGUGCCAGCAGCCGCGGUAAUAC